rnacentral:rRNA from 1 species
UACGUAGGUGCGAGCGUUGUCCGGAAUUAUUGGGCGUAAAGGGCUCGUAGGCGGUUUGUCGCGUCGGGAGUGAAAACACCGGGCUUAACUCGGUGCUUGCUUUCGAUACGGGCAGACUAGAGGCAUGCAGGGGAGAACGGAAUUCCUGGUGUAGCGGUGAAAUGACGCAGAUAUCAGGAGGAACACCGGUGGCGAAGGCGGUUCUCUGGGCAUGUCCUGACGCUGAGGAGCGAAAGUGUGGGGAGCGAACAGG